CUAAUGGAAUCGACUGCUCCCUAUUUGGUGAACACUAUCAUUUACAGGGCGGCUAUCCAAAGAGGAUAGCUGAGUGCUGCGAAAAACAAGGACAACGACUCGUUAAAUGUGAAAGGAUACGUAAUGUGUUCUCUUACAGAAGAAAUAUUGACAUCAUGCACUUCGAUAAAGUCCUGAGAAAGCUAAUUGUCGGCGUAGAUCCAGCGGACGAGUACAAAUUUCAAAUAGAGUUGUGUGACGUUGAAUAUGAUGAAUUACCAAUACCCACACCAAGAAACAUAACAACGACAAAAGCACCAGCAACGACAAAUGCACCAACAACGACAAAAGCGCCAGCUACGACAAAAAAAUCACCAGGUGGAGU